rnacentral:rRNA from 1 species
CCUACGUGAGGCUGCAGUGAGGAAUAUUGGUCAAUGGACGAGAGUCUGAACCAGCCAAGUAGCGUGAAGGUUGACUGCCCUAGGGGUUGUAAACUUUUUUUAUAUGGGAAUAAAACGUUCCACGUGUGGGAUUUUGUAUGUACCAUAUGAAUAAGGAUCGGCUAACUCCGUGCCAGCAGCCGCGGUAAUAAGGAGGAUCCGAGCGUUAUCCGGAUUUAUUGGGUUUAAAGGGAGCGUAGGUGGAUGGUUAAGUCAGUUGUGAAAGUUUGCGGCUCAACCGUAAAAUUGCAGUUGAAACUGGCAGUCUUGAGUACAGUAGAGGUGGGCGGAAUGCGUGGUGUAGCGGUGAAAUGCUGAGAUAUCACGAAGAACUCCGAUUGCGAAGGCAGUUCACUGAACUGCAACUGACACUGAGGCUCGAAAGUGUGGGUAUCAAACAGGAUUAGAUACCCCAGUAGUC